GGGAUGAGGAUGGAGUAGUGGCCAUCACCCUGCAAAAAAAUGAAUAAAAGAUAAAUAAAUGUGAUUCCAGGGGAUCCAGAUCAGGGAAAGACCAGGAACCAGGACCAGGAAGCAUAAGAGGAAUAGGUCACAGCUCCGCCACCCUGGCUUGUUUUUCCUGCUGGUCUCGAAGGAUCAGACCUGGCCACGUAGUGCGGGACCCUCGCCCACUUAGGGAGAAGAAAAAAAGCACAUCAACUUAUUUACUCCCAUUAAUUAUUUUUGUUAGACGUCUCCAGUUAUAAGUAUAUGUAAUUUAAGUCCGUCCAUAUUUAUUAUAUAUAUGUAACCUAUUUAUUUAUAUUUAUUAUAUUAUUUAUUCCUAUUAAUCUAAUUAUUUAUUAACCGCCAGUAGUACUAAGAUAAGGGGGGGAUGAAUAGGCAGGCCUAGCUUAGAAAUGAUAUCGUGUGAAAAUAGGAAAUGAAGUGAAGAUUAUAACGAAGAAAU